rnacentral:rRNA from 1 species
ACGGGUGAGUAACACGUGGGAACAUACCUCUUGGUUCGGAACAACACAGGGAAACUUGUGCUAAUACCGGAUAAGCCCUUACGGGGAAAGAUUUAUCGCCGAGAGAUUGGCCCGCGUCUGAUUAGCUAGUUGGUAGGGUAACGGCCUACCAAGGCGACGAUCAGUAGCUGGUCUGAGAGGAUGAUCAGCCACAUUGGGACUGAGACACGGCCCAAACUCCUACGGGAGGCAGCAGUGGGGAAUAUUGGACAAUGGGGGCAACCCUGAUCCAGCCAUGCCGCGUGAGUGAUGAAGGCCCUAGGGUUGUAAAGCUCUUUUGUGCGGGAAGAUAAUGACGGUACCGCAAGAAUAAGCCCCGGCUAACUUCGUGCCAGCAGCCGCGGUAAUACGAAGGGGGCUAGCGUUGCUCGGAAUCACUGGGCGUAAAGGGUGCGUAGGCGGGUUUUUAAGUCAGAGGUGAAAUCCUGGAGCUCAACUCCAGAACUGCCUUUGAUACUGGGAAUCUUGAGUAUGGAAGAGGUGAGUGGAACUGCGAGUGUAGAGGUGAAAUUCGUAGA